AACCUCGAAGUACUCUGAGGCUUGUAGGAGGGUAAAAUAGAGACCCAGUAAAAUUGUAAUAAGCAGUGCUUGAAUUAUUUGGUUUCGGUUGUUUUCUAUUAGACUAUGGUGAGCUCAGGUGAUUGAUACCCCUGAUGCGAGUAAUACGGAUGUGUUUAGGAGUGGGACUUCUAGGGGAUUUAGCGGGGUGAUGCCUGUUGGGGGCCAGUGUCCCCCUAGUUGGGGGGUGGGAGCUAGGCUGGAGUGGUAAAAGGCUCAGAAAAAUCCUGCGAAGAAAAAAACUUCUGAGGUAAUAAAUAGGAUUAUCCCGUAUCGAAGGCCUUUCUGGACAGGUGGUGUGUGGUGGCCUUGGUAUGUGCUUUCUCGUGUUACAUCGCGCCAUCAUUGGUAUAUGGUUAGUGUGUUGGUUAGUAGGCCUAGUAUGAGGAGGGUUGUGGAGUGGAAGUGAAAUCACAUGGCUAGGCCGGAGGUCAUUAGGAGGGCUGAGAGGGCCCCUGUUAGGGGCCAUGGGCUGGGUUUUACUAUAUGAUAGGCAUGUGAUUGGUGGGUCAUUAUGUGUUGUCGUGCAGGUAGAGGCUUACUAGAAGUGUAAAAACGUAGGCUUGGAUUAAGGCGACAGCGAUUUCUAGGAUAGUCAGUAGAAUUAGAAUUGUGAAGAUGAUAAGUGUAGAGGGAAGGUUAAUAGUUGAUAUUGCUAGUGUGGCGCUUCCAAUUAGGUGCAUGAGUAGGUGGCCUGCAGUAAUGUUAGCGGUUAGGCGUACGGCCAGGGCUAUUGGUUGAAUGAGUAGGCUGAUGGUUUCGAUAAUAACUAGUAUAGGGAUAAGGGGUGUAGGUGUGCCUUGUGGUAAGAAGUGGGCUAGGGCAUUUUUAAUCUUAGAGCGAAAGCCUAUAAUCACUGCGCCCGCUCAUAAGGGGAUGGCCAUGGCUAGGUUUAUAGAUAGUUGGGUGGUUGGUGUAUGAGUUGGUCGUAGCGGAAUCGGGGGUAUGCUGUUCGAAUUCAUAAGAACAGGGAGGUCAGAAGUAGGGUCUUGGUGACAAAAUAUGUUGUGUAGAGUUCAGGGGAGAGUGCGUUAUAUGUUGUUCCUAGGAAGAUUGUAGUGGUGAGGGUGUUUAUUAUAAUAAUGUUUGUGUAUUCGGCUAUGAAGAAUAGGGCGAAGGGGCCUGCGGCGUAUUCGAUGUUGAAGCCUGAGACUAGUUCGGACUCCCUUUG
rnacentral:lncRNA from 1 species